CAAAGCUCCCAUGGCGGAAUGUUCAAUCACAAUACCAUCCUCAAUAAAAUCAACAAUUUAUUGAUUAUUAUUAUGUGCUAACAGUUUGAUGAGACGCUGAUCGAAUGAGCCGCUUGAAAUCCUUCCUGUUGCUGUUUCUCGCACUGUUUUCGGCCACUGCAUCGGUAAGAGUAGAAGAGCUGAAUGAGGAGUUCACGGAGGCGUUGCUGCUGAGGCCUCUGCCCGAUCGAAAAGUUUUGGCUCAUUUCCACUUCCGAAGCAGUGCGCCGCCGUCUCAAAGAUAUGGGCGCCACCACCGCAUCUUCCCCAAAUCUAUUUACCAGCUGGUUCAUAAAUUCCAAGUUCGAGAGAUGGAGCUGUCCUUCACGCAAGGGCGUUGGAAUUACGAAAGAUGGGGGGGAUUUGACCCGAUUUCGAGCAGCAAUGCAAAGCCACCUGGAGUAGAACUAUGGGCUGAGUUUGAUGUUCCUCAUGAUCAAGUUGAUGAUUCCUGGAAGAAUCUGACGCACGCUCUUUCAGGGCUCUUCUGCGCGUCAAUCAAUUUCUUGGAGCGUUCGACUAGCUACUCUGCACCUCACUGGAGCUUUGGGUCGGCUUCAGGCAAAUUACGAUAUGGCACAUUGCCUCGUGAAGCUGUUUGCACAGAGAAUCUCACACCGUGGUUGAAGUUGCUUCCGUGUAGAGACAAAGCUGGCCUUUCUUCGUUGAUGGACCGCCCUUCAAUAUACCGGGGGUAUUACCAUUCCCAGAGGUUGCAUUUGAAAUCAGAUGAAUCUGAUGCAUCUGAGACGAGUACAGGGAUAGUGCUUGAACAAAUCCUUACGGUUGUUCUUCGACCAGAGACCUUUUCUGAAAAAGCGCUGCAACCAAACUGGUCCUUGAGCUCGUUAUUUGGCAGGUCAGUUAGUGGGAAAUGCUCUCUGUCUAGUUCUAGUAAUGUGUAUGUUCAAUUUGAACAGAAUUUAGUGUCUGCGGGGGAUAAAUUAAGGGAAGUUAGUGAAGCUUCGGAGAAUGCUAUUUCUGUUGGUGAGGGAUUCCAAGAUAAUCCUCUAUUUGAAUUAUCACUACUUCCAAAAAGGGUUAUUAGAGAAUCCGGGAACUUUCAGAAAGCAGGCUCUAUCCUUUAUGAGUUUUCAGUCGAGGAUUCCAAUGAAUUCAAGCCAUUUGAUUUGAGAUUGAACUGGAAGACGCCUGUGGCCUGGUCAAGCCCACAGGCACCUUUACAGGCUAGCCGGUUUUUAUUAGGGAGUGGGAACGAAAGGGGAGCUAUCGCUAUCUCAAUGAAAUCUACUAGGAGCACCAACAAUGUAGAAGGAACUGGUGGUUAUGAUGAGAAUGAAUGUUGGCUCAGAGUGGGCAUUUUCCAAAUGGUACCUUGGUAUGUCAAGGUCUACUAUCAUACGUUGAAAUUGUUUUUAGAUGGAAAACCUCAAUCUUCUAUGGAAAACAUAGAGAAAAUACUUGUUUCGCCUUCUGAAGACAAGGUGUCCACUGGAGUGAUGGAACUGAUCUUGAGGUUACCCUGCAGUGUUCAUACAGCGGCAUUGACUUUGGAGUUUGAUAAGGGGUUUCUUCAUAUUGAUGAAUAUCCUCCAGAUGCAAAUCAAGGUUUCGACAUUCCAUCAGCAGUGAUUCACUUUGCUGAUUUCGUAGCAAACAUGAGUUUGCAUGAAAAUUCCUUAAAACAAGAACCUAUAUUGUCCAAGUUACAGGAAGAAGUUCCUGUUAUCUCAUACACAGAAGUACUCCUUGUGCCUUUGACAACUCCAGAUUUUAGCAUGCCUUACAAUGUGAUAACAAUCACAUGCACGGUUUUCGCUUUAUACUUUGGAUCCCUUCUGAAUGCACUAAGAAGGCGCGUUAGUGAGGAUGAAAAGCUUCUAAGCGGAAAAGGUGCCAGGAAGGCAGGCCCUUUGAUGCUGAUGAUAUCCAAACUCACUGCUAAGUUGCGAGGAAAGCCACAGGAACCUCCGGAACUAUCAGACUCUGGGAGGUCCUCCUCGAAGUAUAAGCUAAUAGCAAAAGUCGUGUUGGUAGCCGGUGUAGCUGCUGCUUGGCAGUUCUACUUUCAAUGACAGCCGCAGCAAGCAACCUCCCAUGUAUGAUUAUGUAUCCUGAAGAAGAGGAAUUAGCUAGAAAAAAAAGAAGGAAAUUCCACAUAACUUAAUCUACCAGGAAUCAGAUGGAGAGUUCGAGGCAUCCUUUGGAGCCAAUCUUGGAGAGCUUGCCAUCGACGAGGAGAGCUGUGGAGGUGGUGGCACCGGUGUGCAAGCCGCGGGCGAUGAGAGACUUCCACAUGAGGGAAGAAGCGAUGUGAUCGGGCCCUCUGCCGAUGAAACUAGCCACUCGGGAUGAAUGAUCUAAGAUCCUUAUUCCCAGGAGCGGAUCUCCUACACCACUCCGUCUUAUUCCAUGCAAUCAUAUUACACAUAAAAUACUCCACUAACAAAAUAGACAUAUAUUAAUAUUAAAAUUUUAUAUUCAAGUUUUUAACAAAUAUUACUGUUGUUACAUCUCAUUUUAGAGUUUAUUUUAGUAUCAUGUAA